UGGAACUCAACUCUAGACUAGGCCA
rnacentral:piRNA from 1 species